UGAACUAUUACGAUCAUACCUUUAUCAUUCAUGAAGAAGUCCCCGCUGCGCCAUUUCGGCAAAAACCUCCUCGUUGCCGGCGAUCAGAACGCAGCCGGAGUGGUAUUGAACCCGAAGCUGUUCGGCCGCAUCGACGUCAUCAAAGUGGUUUAUCCUAGCCGUACCAAUUUUGUUCAGAUCUUUAACGAUACUGAGCUUCUUGGUCUCCAAUCGUUGGUCUUGACUCUUUAGAAUCCUUUUCUGACGUACGGCCGCAUCCAAUUGGGCCCUCAAAUCUUCCAAUUCAGCAUUCAAGUUUGUAAUUUGGCCAUUCAGUGCCGUUAGUUGUUCACGCACAUCAGCCUGAUCUCGAACAGUAAUUGCGAAACCUUCCAUCAAUCCGGUGCCCAUUGUUAAGUCGGCAGCCAUUCUUGAAUACGUAUCAAAUUGAAAGGAAGGGAAGAAAGGGAAAUGCGAGAGAAAGGAAGAAAAAAAAAGCGAGAAAAAAACGAAAAGAAAAGGAGAAAAAGGCGAGAGAGAUGAAAUAUCAAAUUGAGACGUAUAAAUAGAUCUGAAAAAUAAGGGCGCUUCGCGAUUUGAGACCGUUAAAAAUUUAAAAUAGAUUUGAGAGACGUAUAAUUUGUUGAUAUGUACACUCAGUGGUGUGGACCGUGUAAGGUAAUCGCGCCAAAAUAUCAGCAGCUGUCUGAAAAAUACGACGAUGUUGUGUUCUUGAAGCUCGAUUGCAACAAUGAAAACAGGCCACUUGCAAAAGAGCUAGGGAUCAAGGUGGUUCCUAGGAUAGCAAGAUUGUUAAAGAAGUAACAGGAGCCAAAAUUGACAAUUUAAUUCUUGCAAUCGAUGCUGUAAGAUCCAGUUAGAUUAUUAUUGUUAUUAGAUUGUACUAUAAUGUAACUUGUUAAUAGAUCAAAGACAGCUGCAGUCAUUGAUAAAUGAAUCUACAAUUCUACCUA